UACGAAGGGGGCUAGCGUUGCUCGGAAUCACUGGGCGUAAAGCGCACGUAGGCGGCUUCUUAAGUCAGGGGUGAAAUCCUGGAGCUCAACUCCAGAACUGCCUUUGAUACUGAGAAGCUUGAGUCCGGGAGAGGUGAGUGGAACUGCGAGUGUAGAGGUGAAAUUCGUAGAUAUUCGCAAGAACACCAGUGGCGAAGGCGGCUCACUGGCCCGGUACUGACGCUGAGGUGCGAAGCGUGGGAGCAACAGG
rnacentral:rRNA from 1 species